rnacentral:rRNA from 1 species
AGACAGCAGUCGCCACGGUAAUACGGAGGGUGCAAGCGUUAAUCGGAAUUACUGGGCGUAAAGCGCACGCAGGCGGUCUGUCAAGUCGGAUGUGAAAUCCCCGGGCUCAACCUGGGAACUGCAUUCGAAACUGGCAGGCUAGAGUCUUGUAGAGGGGGUUAGAAUUCCAGGUGUAGCGGUGAAAUGCGUAGAGAUCUGGAGGAAUACCGGUGGCGAAGGCGGCCCCCUGGACAAAGACUGACGCUCAGGUGCGAAAGCGUGGGGAGCAAACAGGAUUAGAUACCCCGGUAGUCCCUGUCUCUUAUAC